ensembl:lncRNA
CAGGAUGUUUUGAAAGUGAAAACAUGGACGACGAUUUCAAGACUUGCUGCUAUCGAAUACAGAUCGCCCCGUGAUCAAUCUAAUAGACUAUUAACGUUUAUUUAUACCUAAAGUUGGUUUAGAAAAGCAAUUUGAAGUGAUUUGUAAAAGUUUAUAGGUAACUUUUGUAAUUUUAAAAAGUGACGUUGCGUCAUGUAAAGGGGCAUUUUUCUGGAUCAGACCGGUCGUCAGCAAAUCACAUUUUGGGUAUACAAUGACGGAUUUAAUCGGGAAAAAGACCCAAUUGUGAUGUUUAUGUGACAUAUAGGAGUGCCAAGAAAGAAGCUCGUCAAAGAAUCCGCAGGAGGAGUCCAGGCCGCCGAAUCAGCUGGAGGAGUCCAGGCCGCCGAAUCAGCUGGAGGAGUCCAGGCCGAAUCAGCUGGAGGAGUCCAGGCCGCCGAAUCAGCUGGAGGAGUCCAGGCCGCCGAAUCAGCUGGAGGAGUCCAGGCCGCCGAAUCAGCUGGAGGAGUCCAGGCUGUUGAAUCAGCAGGAGGAGUCCAGGCUGUUGAAUUAGCAGGAGGAGUCCAGGCUGUUGAAUUAGCAGGAGGAGUCCAGGCUGUUGAAUCAGCAGGAGGAGUCCAGGCUGUUGCUGCUCAGGAUAGUUACUAUUACAGUCAGUUCUACAGCUUAAUCAUUCAACUUUAUUUCCAUGGUUCUGAAUACAUUAUCAUAACAACAGCCAGGGAUCUGCAUAGUUGUGUUUAUUCAAGUGUGUGUGUGUGUGUGCUGUCUACACGUGUUCAUUGUUGAGGAAAUAACAUAGUAGACUUAUCUCAGGUAGGUAGGAUUACACACACACACACAUGUUGAGUUUACGUCCACGUGUGUGUGUGACUGAGGAGAAGUGUUUUGCUCUGCGUUGGGCAGAAUAGGAUGUAUUCCUUUAUGUCUGUGAGUACUGGUUUAUCGAUGCUACGUGACUGUUUUAGAGGAGCAGGGUUGAAUGAGUUCACAAAGCUGUUAGCUCAAGUUCUCUGUGUCCCUCCCUCCCACUCUCUUUCCACACUGUAAACACUCCCCCCCCCCUCUCUACAUCUCCCCCUCGCUCUCUCAAUUUUUCAAUUCAAUUUCAGGGGCUUGUGGCAACAGGUCACAAAUCUUGCUGUCGUGAUGGCACACUGUGGUACUUCACCCAGUAGAUAUGGGAGUUCAUCAAAAUUGGGUUUGUUUUCAAAUUCUUUUGCUGGUCUGUGUAAUCUGAGGUAAAUAUGUGUCUCUAAUAUGGUCAAACACUUGGCAGGAGGUUAGGAAGUGCAGCUCAGUUUCCACCUCAUUUUGUGGGCAGUGUUGCACAUAGCCUAUUUUCUACUGCGAGCCAGGUCUCGCUCUCCAUUCCUACUCUCUCCUUUCCCCCC